rnacentral:rRNA from 1 species
CGGGGGGGGCAAGCGUUGUUCGGAAUUACUGGGCGUAAAGGGCUCGUAGGCGGCCAACUAAGUCAGACGUGAAAUCCCUCGGCUUAACCGGGGAACUGCGUCUGAUACUGGAUGACUAGAGGUUGGGAGAGGGAUGCGGAAUUCCAGGUGUAGCGGUGAAAUGCGUAGAUGUCUGGAGGAACACCGGUGGCGAAGGCGGCAUCCUGGACCAAUUCUGACGCUGAGGAGCGAAAGCCAGGGGAGCAAACGGGAUUAGAUACCCCGGUAGUCCUGGCCCUAAACGAUGAAUGCUUGGUGUGGCGGGUAUCGAUCCCUGCCGUGCCGAAGCUAACGCAUUAAGCAUUCCGCCUGGGGAGUACGGUCGCAAGGCUG